UGGGGAAUAUUGCACAAUGGGCGCAAGCCUGAUGCAGCCAUGCCGCGUGUAUGAAGAAGGCCUUCGGGUUGUAAAGUACUUUCAGUCGGGAGGAAGGUGGUAAGGUUAAUAACCUUAUCAAUUGACGUUACCGACAGAAGAAGCACCGGCUAACUCCGUGCCAGCAGCCGCGGUAAUACGGAGGGUGCAAGCGUUAAUCGGAAUUACUGGGCGUAAAGCGCACGCAGGCGGUUGAUUGAGUCGGAUGUGAAAUCCCCGGGCUUAACCCGGGAAUUGCAUCUGAUACUGGUCAGCUAGAGUCUUGUAGAGGGGGGUAGAAUUCCAUGUGUAGCGGUGAAAUGCGUAGAGAUGUGGAGGAAUACCGGUGGCGAAGGCGGCCCCCUGGACAAAGACUGACGCUCAGGUGCGAAAGCGUGGGGAGCAAACAGG
rnacentral:rRNA from 1 species